rnacentral:rRNA from 1 species
CUAACGACGGCCCUGCGGACGCGUAAAUACUGUGGGUGCGCGCGUUGUGCGGAAUUACUGGGCGUAAAGUGCUCGUAGGUGGUUUGUCGCGUCGUCUGUGAAAUGCCGGGGCUCAACGCCGGGCGUGCAGGCGAUACGGGCAUAACUUGAGUACUGUAGGGGAGACGGGAAUUCCUGGUGUAGCGGUGAAAUGCGCAGAUAUCAGGAGGAACACCGGUGGCGAAGGCGGGUCUCUGGGCAGUAACUGACGCUGAGGAGCGAAAGCAUGGGUAGCGAACAGGAUUAGAUACCCUGGUAGUC